rnacentral:tRNA from 1 species
GGGGGUACAGCUCAGUGGCAGAGCCCUCCCUUGGCACGGUAGAAGGCUGGGGUUCAAUUCCCCAUACGUCCA